rnacentral:rRNA from 1 species
CAGCAGCAGCCACGGUAAUACGAAGGGUGCAAGCGUUAAUCGGAAUUACUGGGCGUAAAGCGUGCGUAGGCGGUUUGUUAAGUCUGUUGUGAAAUCCCCGGGCUCAACCUGGGAAUGGCAAUGGAUACUGGCAAGCUAGAGUGUGUCAGAGGAUGGUGGAAUUCCCGGUGUAGCGGUGAAAUGCGUAGAGAUCGGGAGGAACAUCAGUGGCGAAGGCGGCCAUCUGGGACAACACUGACGCUGAGGCACGAAAGCGUGGGGGGCAAACAGGAUUAGAUACCCGAGUAGUCCCUGUCUCUUAUAC